UCAUCCAUGCAAAAAUCGAAGUCCAAUGUUCUAUUCUCCCUGCAGACGUGGCAUUUUCCUUUUGUCUUGAAAGUCCUGUAAUAGGCAGUUUUUUCUCAGAAAAGUUUGAUCUAUUCCCAAUAUUCAUUAUAGCCAAAACUACCAGUUUACUGUAAUAAAUUGUGAAGUCCUUACCAGCCUGAUGCAAGAAAAGAACUUACUUGGGAGAUAUUCCUCACCCAAAUUCACAAUCACUUGUUAAAGUCAGUAACUUGGGGUGUAAGUUAUCUAUUUUUCACAAGUCUAUUAGGGUUUUUAAUUAUUAACAGUGACACGCUUGCACACCAAAGAAAGUUGACUUGUUGACCACCAAUAGUUUUCAAGCUAAUGGGGAACUUUACCCUACCAUCACAGGAUUGAACUAAAAAUGGGUGAACAGUAGUCCAACUUAGUGAAAAAUGCCUCAUGUUAGACUAGCUCUAUAGAUCCGCUAGUGAUUAUAAGCCUUGUUGAAAUUAAUCCAUUAUCUAGUUGAUUUUAAUUUUGAUUUAUUUAUUUACUUUUUAAAGCUCUUUCGGUUUUAUUUGGUUUGCUAAUGCCUCAAGAUCAGCUAAUGAUCUCAUCGUUCCCUCAUGAUCAAGUUUUUAUAUAAACAAAAGUAAAAAAUUCAACUAAAUAGACUCAAAUUUCCUUAAAUUAAAACGUACAUAAACCUAAAAAUCAAAAUGCUGUUAGAUCUUCUUUAUUUUAUUUUUAUUUUUAUUUUAUUUAUAACUAUGUUAAAAUAAAAAUUUAAGAGUCUUUAAACGCAAGUUUGAAGAAGUAUUGGAGCCCUAGUCAAACUACCUGUGAUGGCAAAGAUGUUUUAGCUCCAAGGUAUUCUUUUAUUUUUGGCCUAAUUUUAAUAUAGCUCUUAUUUAAAAAUAAUAAUAAUUGACAUAUUAGCAGAAAAUAUGGGGAUAAAUGGACAUCCGAAACUAACUUCAUAAGAAAAUAAACAACGAUAAUGGUGACCUUUAGCCCUCCUAUCUACCCAAAAAAAAAAAAAAGGAUAAUAAAUUUACCUUUUCCACUAUCUGAAUGAUGAUCCAUUACACUUAAUUAAUCAUGUUUUUCUUUUUAGUUUUGGUCAAAAUCUGGUUGCAUAAGGCCCUGGUAAGUGCAAAUGAAGUUUUGUUAAUAACAAAGUCAAAUAAGCAUGGGUCAAGUUUUAUAAUAUGGUUUCUGCACUUAUCAUACCCCAUACUGAUAUGAUUUUUAUGGAAUUAUAUGUAUUAUAUAAAAUCUUGAUGUAAUUAUAAGUAAGUUUAUUAUCACAAAACGUCUCUGACGUUUGCGAAAACUAUCAAAUUGCAUUCUUAAAAUUUUUUUGUAUCACUCAUGGUCUCUAAUGUUAAUAUAGGUGCACUUAAAUAGUCCAUUUGUUUAAAAAAAAUGUUAAAUCCAGGAGUAUAAUCGUCAAAUCAAUCCUUUUGACCUCUUCAAUGACUCAGACUCGUUUGCCACCAAUUUGGAACCAUUUCCCUCCAUUUCUUGUUGGAAUUGCUAAAGGUAAGGGGUUAAAAUGGAAGGGAAUAACAUAAACAAAUUGAACUGUAAACAUCACACGUUGAACAAAUUGAAUAAACUAACACAUUCAACUACAUUCAAUUAUAUAAUCAACCACGUUCAGUUCCAUCACAUUAACCCCUACAUGACUUCCAUCAAAAAUCACUUCCAGACACUUUUGUUAAGAAGCUUUACCGCGACAGCCAUCGCUCCAAUCCCAAAUCAACGGUUGCGAUCUGCCCGAUGGAGGCCGACGACGAAUCUUCUGCGAUCUGCCGGCAUGUCGUCGUCGUGGCUAGAAGCAUACUACGAUCACACUUGCCGAUGACUUGUCGUUUCAGUCUGAGCUCUGAAGCUUCUCUGCUACUUUGAUUUGUACUCUGCAACACCAAAAAAGAACAAAAAAGGAACAAAAAUUAACUAAGAAUUAAUGCAUUAGACGUUGGCAGUAAAACCCAAUUCUCAGAACUACUAGUGCCACAAAAAUUCCUGUAUUUUUUUAUAACACUCGACGAAUAAAGCCCAAAAGCAAAAAACAGAGAAAAAAGAAGAAUCUGAGGACUCUGAAGCUUUUCAGGUGCUCUGGCGAUUGGGACAAGCUUCUCCAGGUGAUAGUAGAGCAAGUCACCUCCAUGGUUGAGAUCCAUCUAGAAAAGCUUAAGGUCAGUGAAGUAGGCCUCGCUGCCAUCUCCGAUUGCUUGGAUCUGGAGAUUCUACACCUGGUCAAGACCCCUGAGUGCACAAAUGCAGGUUUGGUCUCGGUCUCCCAACGCUAAUUUGCCUCACCCAUCUUCUCUCAGACACUUUUGCAGAAGCUUUAUCGCCCAAUUUUCCACGACUGAAAAACCCUAUUUCUCAGAAAAAGCAUAGAAAUUGGUCUGAUGAUGUUGACGAUGACCACGAAGAAAUAUAUUUGAAGCGUGAGAGGUAAAAGGGAGUUGAC
rnacentral:lncRNA from 1 species